UAGUCCUUUAAUCCUGUCCCGUGAGGCAGGCAAGGAGAAUCUGAUAAUAGGUGCAGGCUGUCCUGUACCCCCUAUUUUCUGUAAUCUCCUUGUUCUCAAGGAGAUUUUUUAUAU
rfam:Streptococcus sp. DD10 genomic scaffold scaffold00001, whole genome shotgun sequence.